rnacentral:rRNA from 1 species
ACGGGAGGCAGCAGUGGGGAAUAUUGCACAAUGGGCGCAAGCCUGAUGCAGCGAUGCCGCGUGAGUGAAGAAGGUUUUCGGAUCGUAAACCUCUGUCAUCAGGGACGAUAAUGACUGUACCCGAGAAGGAAGCUCCGGCUAACUACGUGCCAGCAGCCGCGGUAAUACGUAGGGAGCGAGCGUUAUCCGGAAUCACUGGGUGUAAAGGGAGUGUAGGCGGGACUGUAAGUCAGAUGUGAAAUAUGCCGGCUCAACUGGCAGACUGCAUUUGAAACUGCGGUUCUUGAGUGAAGUAGAGGCAAGCGGAAUUCCUAGUGUAGCGGUGAAAUGCGUAGAUAUUAGGAGGAACAUCAGUGGCGAAGGCGGCUUACUGGGCUUUAACUGACGCUGAGGCUCGAAAGCGUGGGGAGCAAACAGGAUUAGAUACCCUGGUA